rnacentral:rRNA from 1 species
AGCGCAACCCUUGUCAUUAGUUGCUACAUUCAGUUGGGCACUCUAAUGAGACUGCCGGUGACAAGCCGGAGGAAGGUGGGGAUGACGUCAAGUCCUCAUGGCCCUUAUAGUGGGGCUACACACGUCAUACAAUGGCUGGUACAAAGGGUUGCCAACCCGCGAGGGGGAGCCAAUCCCAUAAAGCCAGUCGUAGUCCGGAUCGUAGUCUGCAACUCGACUACGUGAAGUCGGAAUCGCUAGUAAUCGUGGAUCAGAAUGUCACGGUGAAUACGUUCCCGGGUCUU